rnacentral:rRNA from 1 species
UACGGAGGGUGCAAGCAUUAAUCGGAUUUAUUGGGCGUAAAGGGCGCGUAGGCGGAGUGAAAAGUCAGAUGUGAAAUCCCCGGGCUCAACCUGGGAACUGCAUUUGAAACUCUCACCCUGGAGGGUAGGCGGAGAAAACGGAAUUCCACAAGUAGCGGUGAAAUGCGUAGAUAUGUGGAAGAACACCGGUGGCGAAGGCGGUUUUCUAGCUUAUUCCUGACGCUGAGGCGCGAAAGCAAGGGGAUCAAACAGG